rnacentral:rRNA from 1 species
AGUCGAACGCGAAAGUCCCCUUCGGGGGACAAGUAGAGUGGCGCACGGGUGAGUAACACGUAGGUAAUCUACCUUCGGAUGGGGAAUAACAACCGGAAACGGUUGCUAAUACCGCAUAAUGCAGCGGCACCUAAUGGUGACAGUUGUUAAAGCGGGGGAUCGAAAGACCUCGCGUCUGAAGAGGAGCCUGCGGCGGAUUAGCUAGUUGGUAAGGUAAUGGCUUACCAAGGCUACGAUCCGUAACCGGCCUGAGAGGGCGGUCGGUCACACUGACACUGACAUACGGGUCAGACUCCUACGGGAGGCAGCAGUCGGGAAUUUUGGGCAAUGGGCGAAAGCCUGACCCAGCAACGCCGCGUGAAGGAUGAAAUCCCUCGGGAUGUAAACUUCGCAAGAACGGGAAGAAUAAGCGAGAGUUAAUAUCUUUCGUGAUGACGGUACCGUUUGUAAGCUCCGGCUAACUCCGUGCCAGCAGCCGCGGUAAUACGGGGGGAGCAAGCGUUGUUCGGAUUUACUGGGCGUAAAGGGCGCGUAGGCGGCCAGCACAAGUCAGUUGUGAAAUCUCCGAGCUUAACUCGGAAAGGUCAACUGAUACUGUGCGGCUAGAGUGCGGAAGGGGCAACUGGAAUUCUUGGUGUAGCGGUGAAAUGCGUAGAUAUCAAGAGGAACACCUGCGGCGAAGGCGGGUUGCUGGGCCGACACUGACGCUGAGGCGCGAAAGCCAGGGGAGCGAACGGGAUUAGAUACCCCGGUAGUCUUGGCCUUAAACGAUGAAUGCUUGGUGUCUGGGGUUAUAUAGUCCCCGGGUGCCGUCGCUAACGCUUUUAAGCAUUCCGCCUGGGGAGUACGGUCGCAAGACUGAAACUCAAAGGAAUUGACGGGAACCGCACAAGCGGUGGA